rnacentral:rRNA from 1 species
AACGUAGGGGGCGAGCGUUGUCCGGAAUUAUUGGGCGUAAAGGGCGCGUAGGCGGGUACUUAAGUCUGAUGUGAAAUCCCGGGGCUCAACCCCGGGGUGGCAUUGGAAACUGGGUAUCUUGAGUGCAGGAGAGGGGAGCGGAAUUCCACGUGUAGCGGUGAAAUGCGUAGAGAUGUGGAGGAACACCAGUGGCGAAGGCGGCUCUCUGGCCUGUAACUGACGCUGAGGCGCGAAAGCGUGGGGAGCAAACAGG